rnacentral:rRNA from 1 species
GACAGAGGAGGCGAGCGUUAUCCGGAGUUAUUGGGCGUAAAGAGUACGUAGGCGGCUGGACCAGUCUGGGGUUAACGACCACAGUUUAACUGUGGGGGGGCCUUGGAAACUGAACGGCUGGGGUGGGGCAGGGGUUGCGGGAAUUCCCGGUGUAGCGGUGAAAUGCGUAGAUAUCGGGAAGAACACCUGAGGCGAAAGCGCGCAACUGGGCCCUAACUGACGCUGUGGUACGAAAGCUAGGGGAGCGAAGGGG